CCUACGGGAGGCAGCAGUGGGGAAUAUUGGACAAUGGGGGGAACCCUGAUCCAGCGACGCCGCGUGAGUGAAGAAGUAUUUCGGUAUGUACAGCUCUAUCAGCAGGGAAGAAAAUGACGGUACCUGACUACGAAGCCCCGGCUAACUACGUGCCAGAAGCCGCGGGAAUACGUAGGGGGCACGCGUUAACCGGAUUUACUGGGUGUAAAGGGAUCGUCGACGGUUCAGCAAGUCUGAUGUGAAAGGUCGGGGCCAAACCCCGGGACUGCAUUGGACACUGGUGAACUGGAGUACAGGAGAGGUAAGCGGAAUUCCUGGUGUAGCGGUGAAAUGCGUAGAGAUUAGGAGGAACACCAGUGGCGAAGGCGGCUCACUGGACUGUAACUGACGCUGAGGCUCGAAAGCGUGGGGAGCAAACAGGAUUAGAUACCCCUGUAGUC
rnacentral:rRNA from 1 species